rnacentral:rRNA from 1 species
CAGCAGCCACGGUAAUACAGAGGGUGCGAGCGUUAAUCGGAUUUACUGGGCGUAAAGCGUGCGUAGGCGGCUUCUUAAGUCGGAUGUGAAAUCCCUGAGCUUAACUUAGGAAUUGCAUUCGAUACUGGGAAGCUAGAGUAUGGGAGAGGAUGGUAGAAUUCCAGGUGUAGCGGUGAAAUGCGUAGAGAUCUGGAGGAAUACCGAUGGCGAAGGCAGCCAUCUGGCCUAAUACUGACGCUGAGGUACGAAAGCAUGGGGAGCAAACAGGAUUAGAUACCCCUGUAGUCCCUGUCUCUAUACA